GACGAACGCUGGCGGCGCGCUUAACACAUGCAAGUCGAACGGAAAGGCCUGCUUUCCCUUGUGGAUUGCGGGUACUCGAGUGGCGAACGGGUGAGUAGCACGUGAGUGAUCUGCCCCCAACUUGGGUAUAAGCCUGGGAAACUGGGUCUAAUUCCCGAUAGGACUGCAGGGUGGUGCCUGUGGUGGAAAACGAUUUUCUAGUGGUUGGGGAUGAGCUCGCGGCCUAUCAGCUUGUUGGUGGGGUAAUGGCCUACCAAGGCGGCGACGGGUAGCCGGCCUGAGAGGGUGGACGGACACAUUGGGACUGAGAUACGGCCCAGACUCCUACGGGAGGCAGCAGUGGGGAAUAUUGCACAAUGGGCGGAAGCCUGAUGCAGCGACGCCGCGUGGGGGAUGACGGCCUUCGGGUUGUAAACUCCUUUCGACCGCGAGGAAGCCACCUGGUUGGAAGGGUGGUGACGGUAGUGGUAGAAGAAGCACCGGCUAACUACGUG
rnacentral:rRNA from 1 species